AAACCGCGGAAAGCUCAUUAUAACAGCUAUAGACUACACGGUAAAUAUUUUAGUUGGAUAACUGAGGUAAUUCUUGAGCUAAUACACGCUAUUUAUACCACAUUAGUGGUGCGUUUAUUUGAUUAAACCAUUUAUACUGGUUGACUCAAAAUAUCCUCGCUGAUUUUGUUACUAAAACAUACCGUAUGUGUAUCUGGUUUAUCAACUUUCGAUGGUAGGGUAUUGGCCUACCAUGGUUGUGACGGAUAACGGAGAAUUAGGGUUCGACUCCGGAGAGGGAGCCUGAGAAACGGCUACCACAUCCAAGGAAGGCAGCAGGCGCGAAAAUUACCCAAUUUUAGUUAAAAGAGGUAGUGACGAAAAAUGACAACCAAAUAUUAUUAUUAAUAUUUGGAUUGAAAAUCUUCAAGUUUAAAU
rnacentral:rRNA from 1 species